rnacentral:rRNA from 1 species
GUGCCAGCCGCCGCGGUAAUACGUAGGGUGCGAGCGUUAAUCGGAAUUACUGGGCGUAAAGCGUGCGCAGGCGGUUUUGAAAGUCAGAUGUGAAAUCCCCGGGCUCAACCUGGGAACUGCGUUUGAAACUCCAAAGCUAGAGUAUGGGAGAGGGAGGUAGAAUUCCACGUGUAGCAGUGAAAUGCGUAGAGAUGUGGAGGAAUACCGAUGGCGAAGGCAGCCUCCUGGCCCAAUACUGACGCUCAUGCACGAAAGCGUGGGGAGCAAACAGGAUUAGAAACCCUCGUAGUCC